GACGAACGCUGGCGGCGUGCUUAACACAUGCAAGUCGAGCGAGGUUCUUCGCUUCGGGGAUGAAGCUAGCGGCGGACGGGUGAGUAACACGUGGGCAACCUGCCUUAUAGAGGGGGAUAGCCUUCCGAAAGGAAGAUUAAUACCGCAUAACAUCAGAUUAUCGCAUGGUAGACUGAUCAAAGGAGCAAUCCGCUAUAAGAUGGGCCCGCGUCGCAUUAGCUAGUUGGUGAGGUAACGGCUCACCAAGGCGACGAUGCGUAGCCGACCUGAGAGGGUGAUCGGCCAAAUUGGGACUGAGACACGGCCCAGACUCCUACGGGAGGCAGCAGUGGGGAAUAUUGCACAAUGGGGGAAACCUUGAUGCAGCAACGCCGCGUGAGUGAUGAAGGCCUUCGGGUUGUAAAGCUCUUUGAUCAGGGACGAUAAUGACGGUACCUGAAGAACAAGCCACGGCUAACUACGUGCCAGCCGCCGCCGUAACAC
rnacentral:rRNA from 1 species